rnacentral:lncRNA from 13 species
AUGGACAAAAUAAUUUGUGUCGUCCAAUCCAUCCACUCACCUGAAAGUCACCGACUGUUGCCACUCCCACUUUACAUUGUAUGUUGGUUGGUUUUUUUUGUUGGUUUUUUUUCCUUUUGUAUCGACUUUUCCCACUGUUGGCCUUCUGUUAGAUAUUCAUCACUAAUUCCAAGUUAUGUUCCUAAUCAUGCCACAUCUGAUUUGCUGAAUUGGCACCCUUUUAAAAAAAAAUAUAUAUAUAUUAUUAUUAACAUAGCUGCGUAUUUUAUUUCAAACGGCUUGUGAUCUGGCUGACAUUCUAUGAUUUUGUUGUCAUGGUGAUAUUUUAAUAUGCAAUUUGUAUUUUUCGAAUCACUGAAACCGUUCCAAUUUAGAGUUGGUUUCCUGUAGUAAGUCUCACAAACUGGAAGGAUGUUCCUCAACAAAUGUAAAUGUAGGUCUAGCUAACAAACACAACAAAAUGACAACUGACACCUUUCCCACUAGUGUGUGAUAUGCUGCUUUCAGACUGAGCAAUAAUGUUGAAGAAAGUUAGCCUGGGUGCCAGUUUCUCUGUGCCAUCAUCCCAAAGUCCCUGUCACUCAUUGUCAUGGAAAACAAUGCAAUUGGCAGGAGAAUAAACAGAUUUGCGACACCCGGGCUAGAAGAAAGUGUGAGCUGAUAGCAAAAUGUCUCUUUUCCCCUCUGUAUUGUGACACCAAUUGGAAAGCCACUGUUGUCAGGUCACUGUCACAAGGCAAACUCUUUUUGAAUGAUGAGUAUUUAUUAUAACACUCACUUGGAAAUUAAUGAACUUUAUGAAUUUUUUUUUUGUAUUUUUGGGGGGGAAGUUGGUUUUACUUGAAACCAAUGCAUAUAUUUUCAAUGUUGUGUAUCGUCACAAAACGUGCACGUGAUCAAAAUCAAGUGUGUUGAUUAUUUGACGAAUGUUAUUUGUGAAACCUUUUAGAAAUUAAAUUCCAAAACUUGAUGUCAUGAAUUAAAAGCCCUUUGCAGAAUCAAUGUUGCAAAUGUGUGGUUAAAAGAAAAUUGCCAUCACACACAAACAUGAAAAGAAAAAAAAAUAUUGUCAACUAUUAUUUCUAAAAACUGGUGAAUAGGUAAAUAAAAUCACAUUAUUUGAAUCAAGUCCCAAGAGUUUUAAAAAAAAUGUUUUAUAUAAAUGCAUUGCCAAGAAUCUGCAUAAAACAAUGUGACUCUGGGUCAAGGCACAACGGUAGCCUGCGUCCCUCUGUUGCUAACCUAACGCUUCCUUCCCUGCGCUUUCCUUUGCACUAUAAACACGUGACCGCCCGCUUGACUACAUAUAAACCGGUUUGCGCAAAGGAUCCAAUUAAUUGGCAACAUUUCAAACUGUGGAUAAGUUUGUACCAGAAUCUCAAUCCGUUACACUGUUUUUUUUUUUUUUUCUUGAUCAUGUGACCUGACCCGAAACUAGUUACACGCUGUAACUGGUUUUCAGUCUGGUCACAAGUGCAGGAAGAUCUACUGGCCCUUGCAAGCAUAGCCA